rnacentral:rRNA from 1 species
CCUACGGGGAGCUGCAGUGAGGAAUAUUGGUCAAUGGGCGAGAGCCUGAACCAGCCAAGUCGCGUGAGGGAGUACUGCCCUAUGGGUUGUAAACUGCUUUUAUACGGGAAUAACGCGCCUUACGUGUAGGGCUUUGCAUGUACCGUAUGAAUAAGGACCGGCUAAUUCCGUGCCAGCAGCCGCGGUAAUACGGAAGGUCCGGGCGUUAUCCGGAUUUAUUGGGUUUAAAGGGAGCGUAGGCCGCAUGUCAAGCGUGCUGUGAAAUGUCCGGGCUCAACCCGGGCCUUGCAGCGCGAACUGGCGUGCUUGAGUCCGCGGAAAGCAGGCGGAAUUCGUCGUGUAGCGGUGAAAUGCUUAGAUAUGACGAAGAACCCCGAUUGCGAAGGCAGCAUGCCGGCUCCACACUGACGCUGAGGCACGAAAGCGUGGGUAUCGAACAGGAUUAGAUACCCGAGUAGUC